GCCACCAUGGGCAAGUGGUUAAAUCACCCGCCAACGAUAAAUUUCAGUGGCGGGAGGCCCGGGGUUCGAUUCCCUGAGGUGGCC